rnacentral:rRNA from 1 species
UACAGAGGUCUCAAGCGUUGUUCGGAUUCAUUGGGCGUAAAGGGCGCGUAGGCGGCGGGGUCAGUCGGGUGUGAAAUCUUGGGGCUUAACCCCGAAACGGCACUCGAAACUGCCCGGCUGGAGGGCCGGAGAGGAGAUCGGAAUUCACGGUGUAGCAGUGAAAUGCGUAGAUAUCGAGAGGAACACCUGCGGCGAAGGCGGGUUGCUGGGCUGAUGACUGACGCUGGAGGCGCGAAAGCGUGGGGAGCAAACAGGA